rnacentral:sRNA from 1 species
CUUUGCUGUGUCUGCAAGACUGAGAUCGAAGCCUAUUUAGGGGAAAUACCAUUGUGGAGGUGGAAUUUUAAGGUCAAUUUACCACCCAAGAAGCUUAACUUCUGCCUGUUCUGUUCUCUGCAGAAACGAAGACUGCAGAGAGAGACGUCGUGGUGGAAACUAUCCAGAUGAACACUAUCUUUGAUGGAGAAGCCAUAGAUCCAGUGACCGGGGAAACAUAUGAAUUCAACUCAAAAACUGGAGCCAGAAAGUGGAAAGAUCCACUAACCCAAAUGCCAAAAUGGAAAGAGUCCAGCCACCAGGGAGCUGCCCCACGCAGAGUCACUGCUGGGGAAGGGAUGGGGUCACUGAGAAGUGCCAACCGGGAAGAAGAUGAGCUGAGUGGCAAAGCAUGGGCUGAGGAUGCUGGUCUGGGUUCCAGAAAUGAGGGUGGCAAGCUGGGCAACCCAAAGAACAGAAAUCCAGCCUUCAUGAACAGGGCUUCCCCCAAACCACACCCAGGAAAGUAAACGGGGUCUAAGGAGGGGCUUGUCAAUCACUGAGAUGCUGCCUCACCCUAAAUUCUAUGGGGACGG